AUAAUAUUGAUUGGACAAUGGUAUUUCAUUUAUGGGUCUUGUCACAUACUAAAUUACUCAUUUGUACAAAAUAUUCAGUAAUACUCCAUACCGAUUUUGUGACGGUAGAAAAUUGUAUUCGUAUUUUACCUAACGCACCGCUCGCUUGUAGAUAAUCGUAUUAGUUGAAGAAGUGAAUCUCGAUUUUGAAAGUGCCUAAUAAAUUUUCACGCGACGAUACCUCUUGCGACUAACUUUGGUGGCGGUGUAGCGGGUCGAUCGUUCUAACGAAAUAAUUGAUCGCACGUUGACUGAAAUCGAUGCGUAUACCGGGCGCAAACCACCCGCCAAAGUAUAGGUAUCACGUUGCCGUCAAUUAUUCGUUGAUUUAUAUCGACCCAGAGAAAACCAAAAAAAAAAAAGAAGAAAAGUUACUGUUUCUGAAUAGUUCGCUGCUUCAUUUUUGGUGGAUUGAAUUGAUCGGUCGAUUGUCUUUGCUAUAGCAAUUAAAGAUCGCCCAGGGGACGCGAGACGUUGUACUAUUCAAAUACUCGCAAAAAGCUGUAGCCAGUUUGCGAAGUGUUUUGUUCGCGGUAAUGUAAACCAAUGAAUCAUUUGACACAACGGAGAGUGGCGGGAAGGUGGAGAAGGUGAAUACUGGAAAUAAAAAUGUUGGCUUUCGAACAGCCAUUGCGUACCUCUCGUCGUCUUCGUAAUUGUCUGAAAGUCUGAGCGAUAUUAAUUUUGUACGAAUAAUUUCAUAAUGAUAAUUAUAUCAAUAAUAACGCAUACGAUCGCAACGAUAAUCGUCUGGUCGUUUGGACCGUAUGCGUCACAGUUGUACAUGGAUAAAAAAAAAUUUCUGCUUCCCUAAGCAGCUCGUCGUCACUUCCCACGAUUAACACCUCUGUUAUUGAAACGUCCUUUGUUCCGCGGCCUCAUAAUAGGACUCCUUAAAUUCGAACGGGUAUGCACCGCCGCAGGAAUCUCACCAGCUGUCAAAUUCUCCUCGAAUAUAUCUGCCG
rnacentral:misc_RNA from 1 species